GCCAGAUGCUGUGGUGCAUGCCUGUAGUCCCUGCUACUGGGAGGCUGAGGCAGGAAGAUCUCUUGGGCCCAGGAGUUCUGGACUGUAGUGCGCUAUGCUGAUCAGGUGUUCGCACCAAGUUCAGCAUCAAUAUGGUGACCUCCAGGGAGUGGAGGACCACCAGGUUGCCUAAGGGGGAGUGAACCAGCCCAGGUUGGAAACAGAGCACGUCAAAAUUUCCGUGCUGAUCAGUACUGGGAUCACGCCUGUGAAUAGCCUCUGCACUCCAGCCUGGGUGAUAUAGUUUGGCUGUGUCCC
ensembl:misc_RNA Metazoa_SRP Metazoan signal recognition particle RNA